UAACCAGAAGAAUUUUGUGGAUAUUAAUGCCAUCUGCUUGUUUGUUCGAAGGAAUCCUAUCCCUACAUUGAUCGGAGAUGUCUAUUAUUCGGUUCAUAACCGGAAUGAGAAGAGGCGUGGGGGAUUGAUUCGAUGCUGUGCGCAGUUAUUAUUCAAGUGGUUUAUGGGUUACUUACCAUCCAAGGGUGCUUUUGUUCUUCUGGGCCAGAAUGUUAAUUGGGCGACCAAGCUGAUGGGUUUGAGGGCUAAGG
rnacentral:lncRNA from 1 species